UACGGGGGGGGUAAGCGUUGUUCGGAAUUACUGGGCGUAAAGGGUCUGUAGGUGGCUUGCUAAGUCAGACGUGAAAUCCCUCAGCUUAACUGGGGAACUGCGUCUGAGACUGGCGAGCUUGAGUGCAGGAGAGGAACGCGGAAUUCCAGGUGUAGCGGUGAAAUGCGUAGAUAUCUGGAGGAACACCGGUGGCGAAGGCGGCAUCCUGGACCAUUACUGACACUGAAAAGCGAAAGCCAGGGGAGCAAACGGG
rnacentral:rRNA from 1 species